rnacentral:rRNA from 1 species
CCUACGGGAGGCAGCAGUGGGGGAUAUUGCACAAUGGGGGAAACCCUGAAGCAGCAACGCCGCGUGGAGGAUGAAGGUUUUCGGAUUGUAAACUCCUUUUGUUAGAGAAGAUAAUGACGGUAUCUAACGAAUAAGCACCGGCUAACUCCGUGCCAGCAGCCGCGGUAAUACGGAGGGUGCAAGCGUUACUCGGAAUCACUGGGCGUAAGGAGCGCGUAGGCGGGAUAGCAAGUCAGAUGUGAAAUCCUAUGGCUUAACCAUAGAACUGCAUUUGAAACUGUUAUUCUAGAGUAUGGGAGAGGUAGGUGGAAUUCUUGGUGUAGGGGUAAAAUCCGUAGAGAUCAAGAGGAAUACUCAUUGCGAAGGCGACCUGCUAGAACAUAACUGACGCUGAUGCGCGAAAGCGUGGGGAGCAAACAGGAUUAGAUACCCGGGUAGUC